rnacentral:rRNA from 1 species
GAGUUUGAUCAUUGGCUCAGGAUGAACGCUGGCGGCAGGCUUAACACAUGCAAGUCGAGGGGCAGCGCGGGUAGCAAUACCUGGCGGCGACCGGCAAACGGGUGCGGAACACGUACAGAAUCUGCCCUUGUCUGGGGUAUAGCCCGGAGAAAUCCGGAUUAACCCCCCAUAAGAUAUUAGAGUGGCAUCACUCAGAUAUUAAAACUCAGGUGGACAAGGAUGACUGUGCGUCCCAUUAGCUAGUUGGUAGGGUAACGGCCUACCAAGGCGACGAUGGGUAGCUGGUGUGAGAGCACGACCAGCCACACGGGCACUGAGACACGGGCCCGACUCCUACGGGAGGCAGCAGUGAGGAAUAUUGGUCAAUGGACGCAAGUCUGAACCAGCCAUGCCGCGUGAAGGAUGAAGGCCUUCUGGGUUGUAAACUUCUUUCGAUCGAGACGAAUUCCUUCCGGGUGAACAAUCCGGGAGGUUGACGGUACCGAGAGAAGAAGCCCCGGCUAACUCCGUGCCA